rnacentral:rRNA from 1 species
GACGAACGCUGGCGGCGUGCUUAACACAUGCAAGUCGAACGGAAAGGCCCUGCUUUUGUGGGGUGCUCGAGUGGCGAACGGGUGAGUAACACGUGAGUAACAUGCCCUUGACUUUGGGAUAACUUCAGGAAACAGGGGCUAAUACCGGAUAGGAGCUCCUGCUGCAUGGUGGGGGUUGGAAAGUUUCGGCGGUUGGGGAUGGACUCGCGGCUUAUCAGCUUGUUGGUGGGGUAGUGGCUUACCAAGGCUUUGACGGGUAGCCGGCCUGAGAGGGUGACCGGCCACAUUGGGACUGCGAUACGGCCCAGACUCCUACGGGACGCAGUGGGCGGGAGCAUUGCGCAAUGGGCCGACGCCUGAUGCAGCGGCGCCGCGUGCGGGAUGACGUCCUUCGGGUUGUAAACCGCUUUCGCCUGUGACGAAGCGUGAGUGACGGUAAUGGGUAAAGAAGCACCGGCUAACUACGUG